rnacentral:ncRNA from 11 species
GCUGGGGUAGCAAAGUGGUUACUGCAGUAGAUUUAGGAUCUACGAUCAAGGGUUCAAAUCCUUUUCCUAGUU